AAAAGCACUUUGAAGAGAGAGUUAAAGAGGACGUGAAACCGGUAGGAUGGAAACGGAUAGAGCCAGCAAACUCGUUCGUAUUCAGCCGAAGGCUUGUGGUCGCCUUGCGUUGAGUUGUUUAACGCGCUUGACGCUUGUCCGGCUACAAGCUGAGGUGCAUUUGCGAAUGUAUGCGCAGAGACUUGUGGAGCAGCUGUUGGACUCGUUUGCUAGAGGCCGUCCUUUGGACGGAACCUGGUGGCGACGACGGCUGUUUGCUCUGCUCGUACCUGGCACGGCCUACGAACAUUGGCUGCGUCGUUGUUUUGUUGCCGUGGUAUCGCAUGCGAUGCCUAGCAAUGAGGCUGCGAUUCAGUUUUUUGUUCUCGUGUCAUCUCUCGGUGUAAAAGCUGGUCAUCUCUCUGACCCGUCUUGAAACACGGACCAAGGAGUUUAGCGUAUGCGCGAGUCAUUGGGUGCAAAAACCCAUAGGCGCAAUGAAAGUAAAGGCUUGUUUGUCAAGCUGACAUGCGAGUGUCGCGGCUUUGGCUUCGGCUUGCAGCAUGGUCCCGUUUUGGUCGCUUGCGACGGAGCGGAGACAGAGCGUAUGCGCUGAGACCCGAAAGAUGGUGAACUAUUCCUGAGCAGGACGAAGCCAGAGGAAACUCUGGUGGAAGUCCGAAGCGAUUCUGACGUGCAAAUCGAUCGUCUGACU
rnacentral:rRNA from 1 species